GAGGGCAGAGUCACAGAAGUUCUCAGUGAGCCAAGAGGUGUCUGUCAUUGAUUCCUGGCCUCCUACAGCACAAUGCUAUACUGUUUUGCUCAGGACCAUGUCUAAUUGUGGUUCUGAAAUUCUGCCACACACUGGAUUCACCUACGGAGUUUUAAAAAAUCCCAAUGGCCAAGCUGCACCCUAUUCCAAUUAGAUCAGAAUCUCUGGGGAUGAGACCCAGGCAUUAAAGAUACAUAUUGAAAUACUAAAUAUUUUCAGGUAAAAUGUAUACAUGUUUACAGAUAAAACCUGGGCUUUGCUUCAAAAUCAGUGAGUAGAGCAAGUGGGAGUAG
rnacentral:lncRNA from 1 species